rnacentral:rRNA from 5 species
UAACGACUCUCGGCAACGGAUAUCUCGGCUCUCGCAUCGAUGAAGAACGUAGCGAACUGCGAUACUUGGUGUGAAUUGCAGAAUCCCGUGAACCAUCGAGUCUUUGAACGCAAGUUGCGCCCGAAGCUUCGGUUGAGGGCACGUUUGCCUGGGUGUCACACAUGGCGUUGCCCCAACCCCUCGCCCUGAAUUGGGCGGGCGGGACCUGGGUGCGUAUGUUGGCCUCCCGAGAUGACAUUAUCCCGGUUGGCCUAAAAUCGAGCGUCGGAGCGAUUAGCACCACGACAUUCGGUGGUUGAUGAGACCCCAAUGAUCAAUGUCGUGCGUGUCGCUCAUGCGCAUGCUCCACGAAUCUAUCUUUCACCAACGCGACCCCAGGUCAAGCGGGGCUACCCGCUGAGUUUAAGCAUAUCAAUAAGCGGAGGAAAAGAAACUAACAAGGAUUCCCCUAGUAACGGCGAGCGAACCGGGAAGAGCCC